UACGAAGGGAGCGAGCGUUGUUCGGAAUCACUGGGCGUAAAGCGUGCGUAGGCGGUUUUAUAAGUCAGAAGUGAAAGCCUGGGGCUCAACCUCAGAAUUGCCUUUGAGACUGUAAAGCUAGAAUCCUGGAGAGGUUAGUGGAAUUCCGAGUGUAGAGGUGAAAUUCGCAGAUAUUCGGAGGAACACCAGUGGCGAAGGCGACUAACUGGACAGGCAUUGACGCUGAGGCACGAAAGCGUGGGGAUCAAACAGG
rnacentral:rRNA from 1 species